GUCGGGGGGAAGGUUCUAGAAAAGCGGCGGCAGCGGCUCUAGCGGCAGUAGCAGCAGCGCCGGCUCCCGUGUGGAGGUGCUCUUAGCGGUGUUGUUUCUCGAGCAGCAGCAGCUCUCACUACAGCGCCAGGACGAGUCCGGUUCGUGUUCGUCCGCGGAGAUCUCUCUCAUCUCGCUCGGCUGCGGGAAAUCGGGCUGAGGCGACUGAGUCCGCGAUGGAGAAAACUUUAGAAACUGUUCCUUUGGAGAGGAAAAAGAGAGAAAAGGAACAGUUCCGUAAACUUUUUAUUGGUGGCUUGAGCUUUGAAACCACAGAAGAAAGUUUGAGGAACUACUACGAGCAAUGGGGGAAACUUACAGACUGUGUGGUCAUGAGAGAUCCUGCAAGCAAAAGAUCAAGAGGAUUUGGUUUUGUAACUUUUUCGUCCAUGGCUGAGGUUGACGCUGCCAUGGCUGCAAGACCUCAUUCAAUUGAUGGGAGAGUGGUUGAGCCAAAACGUGCUGUUGCAAGAGAGGAAUCUGGAAAGCCAGGGGCUCAUGUAACUGUGAAGAAGCUGUUUGUUGGUGGAAUUAAAGAAGAUACUGAGGAACAUCAUCUUAGAGAUUACUUCGAAGAGUAUGGAAAGAUUGAUACCAUUGAGAUAAUUACUGAUAGGCAGUCUGGAAAGAAAAGAGGCUUUGGAUUUGUUACCUUUGAUGAUCAUGAUCCCGUGGAUAAGAUUGUGUUGCAGAAAUAUCAUACCAUCAAUGGUCAUAAUGCAGAAGUAAGAAAGGCUCUGUCUAGACAAGAAAUGCAGGAAGUCCAGAGUUCUAGAAGUGGAAGAGGAGGCAACUUCGGUUUUGGAGAUUCUCGUGGUGGUGGUGGAAAUUUUGGACCAGGCCCGGGAAGUAACUUUAGAGGAGGAUCUGAUGGAUAUGGAAGUGGUCGCGGAUUUGGGGAUGGCUAUAAUGGGUAUGGAGGAGGACCUGGAGGUGGCAAUUUUGGAGGUAGCCCUGGUUAUGGAGGAGGAAGAGGAGGAUAUGGUGGUGGAGGACCUGGAUAUGGCAACCAGGGUGGGGGCUACGGAGGUGGUUAUGACAACUAUGGAGGAGGAAAUUACGGAAGUGGAAAUUACAAUGAUUUUGGAAAUUAUAACCAGCAACCUUCUAACUAUGGUCCAAUGAAGAGUGGAAACUUUGGUGGUAGCAGGAACAUGGGGGGACCAUAUGGUGGAGGAAACUAUGGUCCUGGAGGCAGUGGAGGAAGUGGGGGUUAUGGAGGGAGAAGCCGAUAUUGAGCUUCUUCCUAUUUGCCAUGGAUCUUUUAGAUGCUGCUUCUUCAAUGCAAGGAAAGGAAAUAACCCCAGCGAGGUACUCUUCAGGGAUACAGGUCUAGUACAAGAGAACUCUUGACGGCUACUAAGUUCAGCCAGUCUUAAAAAACUGUGCUGUUUCUACAAAGCUUUAACUACAGUAGUUUAUAAGGAUGACAACGAAAGCUGAGGGUGUAGAGCAAAAUAGUUCUAAGCUUCAGUUAAACUUCUUUAGCAUUGAUAUGAACCAUGGACAAGUAUAUUCUGCUGCCACAAAGACUGUAAAGUGCUUCAUUUCAACAGCUGAGGCGCAAGCCAAGUGAUCAUUAAUAAAGCUUUUCUUGGUUCCUUCAGUGGUGUUGGUAGUAAAAUGGAAGGUGUCUUGCUGCAGGUAACUAAUGAAGAAGUGGUCAACCACAGAGUCUUCAAGAAAUAAGAAAUACUGUACCAUCUGAAAGUAGUUCUUGUUGGUGCCUUCAUUUAAAAAAAAAAGCACUUUAAGAUUAAAGGGAAAUGUUUUCUGAUAAAAUACAUCAUUUAGUACAGGUUCUUAAUAUAAAACCAUUACAAAUUGAGUACUGUUUGUAAAAGAGUAACAUCAAGUAAGCUAGAGAGAGAAAUGUAUCAUGUUUUAAAUUAGGUUUUGUGAGUAGACAGAUUAAAAUUCUAUUUUAAAUAUAAAGUUUAUAAAAUAAACACUUUUGUAUUCAAAUACUUGGUGUAAUGUUUACACAUAAAAUGUGUGAAUCUUGUUCUAUAAACUUACAGUUGUCUAAAAGAUUGCCAUCCCCUAGAGUUUUAAAGCAGUUUCACAAAGCUAUGCAUAUUGCCAUUUUUAUUUCAAUAUUAAUAGUCAAGAAAAGCAUUGUGGACAUUAUUGGCUGUCCCUAAUAAAAUGCCAUUCUUUUUAUACUGUA